rnacentral:tRNA from 1 species
GUCCCGUUAGCUCAAUUGGAUAGAGCGUCAGACUUCUAAUCUGAAGGUUAUGGGUUCGAUUCCCAUACGGGAUA